UACGUAGGGUGCAAGCGUUGUCCGGAAUUAUUGGGCGUAAAGAGCUCGUAGGCGGUUUGUCACGUCGGAUGUGAAAACCCGAGGCUUAACCUCGGGCCUGCAUUCGAUACGGGCUGACUAGAGUUCGGUAGGGGAGACUGGAAUUCCUGGUGUAGCGGUGAAAUGCGCAGAUAUCAGGAGGAACACCGGUGGCGAAGGCGGAUCUCUGGGCCUUACCUGACGCUGAGGCGCGAAAGCUAGGGGAGCGAACAGG
rnacentral:rRNA from 1 species